rnacentral:tmRNA from 1 species
ACAGGCUUCGACUGAGGUUGGUUUCGGCAAGAGAAGCGAGUCGAGCUCAGACAACUCGUUAAACUAUCUGACAAAAAACAAACGCAAACGAACCAAUUGCACUAGCCGCUUAAUUGUGGCUCNNUGUGGCUCGUUAAACUAGAGAUUGCUCACAUCUCUAGGGCGACGUCAUCAUAGUGAGCUUACUUCACCCGGACGCCCAUAGGGGUUGAAGAAAAUCUUAUGGGAUAGCGACCGAUUUACCCUGACUAUGGGGAUGCCGGAAGCGAAUAACAAACAUAGUCUACACUCGUAGAUGCUCUUGUGGAAAUGCCUGAGGACGUGGGUUCGAUUCA